UUUAAUGAGAGUUUGAUCCUGGCUCAGGACGAACGCUGGCGGCGUGCCUAAUACAUGCAAGUAGAACGCUGAAGAGAGGAGCUUGCUCUUCUUGGAUGAGUUGCGAACGGGUGAGUAACGCGUAGGUAACCUGCCUGGUAGCGGGGGAUAACUAUUGGAAACGAUAGCUAAUACCGCAUGAAAUUGAAUAUCGCAUGAUACUUAAUUGAAAGAUGCAACUGCAUCACUACCAGAUGGACCUGCGUUGUAUUAGCUAGUUGGUGAGGUAACGGCUCACCAAGGCGACGAUACAUAGCCGACCUGAGAGGGUGAUCGGCCACACUGGGACUGAGACACGGCCCAGACUCCUACGGGAGGCAGCAGUAGGGAAUCUUCGGCAAUGGGGGGAACCCUGACCGAGCAACGCCGCGUGAGUGAAGAAGGUUUUCGGAUCGUAAAGCUCUGUUGUAAGAGAAGAACGGGUGUGAGAGUGGAAAGUUCACACUGUGACGGUAUCUUACCAGAAAGGGACGGCUAA
rnacentral:rRNA from 1 species